AUGAUGAUGAUGAAGCAAUACUUUUUAUUCCAACACUUGGACUGAUUUAUACAAGUGAUUAUAUGUAUAUUGCAACUGAAUCACA